rnacentral:rRNA from 1 species
UCGCCUGAGGAUGAGCCCGCGUAGGAUUAGCUUGUUGGUGAGGUAAAAGCUCACCAAGGCGACGAUCCUUAGCUGGUCUGAGAGGAUGAUCAGCCACACUGGGACUGAGACACGGCCCAG